AUUCUUGUGUUUCCAUUUGAACCUCGUGUCCUAUUUUUCACAAGCAGUGGGGUUUGGUCAGGCAAUACAACAAGAAAAGUGCCCAGAGCUCUGCUCUGAAUGUCAAUCAUGCAGGAUCGUCGCUGCACCACACCCAGUCACAUUAGUGCUCUCUCAUACCUAUGUCUUCAAAGAGAAUCUUUCGGUGCAUCUCUCUGACAAGCUGAGGCUAGUCUCAAUUUGUCCCCUGUCUUCUCUGACUUUGAAAACACAUGUAUCUCUCAUGGUCUAACAGAUAUGCACAACUGCCUUUCUCUGAAAUUAAUUACUAACACACACGCAGCCAAUAAUUCAAUAGCCUUAACCAUUUUUAAGGUGUUCCUCCAACAUCUUUCCACAGCCACAAAUGUUUUUUUUUUUCUACAUGGAAAAAAAAAGUCUUCACUGGCACCAGGCAAUACCAAAAGCCCCAUAACAAAUAUCUAGAUUAUGCACUAACACUUCCUGCAAAUGAAAAUUCAUGAUGCUUGGGACUCAUUUCCUCCACAAGCUUCCGAAAACAGAAAAACAUCUUUAGGGCUUUUUUGCAUUUUAAAUUGCAGCAGCAGCAGCAGCAGCCAAGCCAGCAUCCAGUCAGCCUGCAUCCCUACACCUAAGAGACAGGAUGCAUUAUGCCAGGGAGCCUCAAGGCCUAUGCGAGAAUUAUCUCCUUGCUUGGAGCUGUUGCAGAGUAGCAUCCAGGUACACACAAGGCGAAAACCCAAGGGGGCCUCCAUGUGUGAAGCUCCCCUCCCUGUGCGUCAGGCCAUUCCUCGGAAGGUCUCACAGGUGCCCACACUGGGCCCCCAUCGCCUCUGCUAAAGCAGAAGUCCAAGUAAGAGUGGUGGCGGAGAGGUUGGAGGGAUGGGCGUUUGCAAAACCAAUUAUCUCUAAGUAAAGAGUCAAAGCAAUCACAGGUCUCCUGCCCGGCAAGCCUGAGACAGAAGCAAAGCAGGCAGGCAGCACACAAUCUGAGCUCAGCGACUAGUCUUGCCAAGCUUUGCCUUUGAGAAGCGCUCACCGGGAAAGGCGUCAAGCAUACCAGGAUUGGAAGAUGCCAACGACCUCCAAAGAGGGAGGCUGGUCAAAAGCCACCCCAACCUCCCUAGACCCAGCCCCGCUGGUGUGGAAACUGCACGUGGUGCUGUGGCGGCCAGGCUGAGUUGCAGAGCCCCACAGCGGCAGCGACUCUCUGGGCAUUGCUAGGUUACGGACGUGUGCACAGGAGGCGCUGGGAGCGGGAAUACACACUCCACCCGACCCUGUUCCCCCAUAUCCCAAAACCUGGGCUUCUCUCAAGAAAGGUGAGCUUUCCUCUUGGAAACUUCUUCCAGCCCCUCUAUGUCUUUCUCAAAUUUUUUCAUAAAUCUUCAGAAUAUUGCAACUACUGUCACUCACUACAUACAGCCUGAUGAUAACAAGGUGACUAUUGCACAAAAGAUCCAGAAUUAGAAGACCAAGUUUCUCUGUUUGGACACUCUCUUUGACAUUCUAGAACUCUGCGACGAUGGGCACAGCCUAGAACUAAGGAGAACAGUAUGAGUGACUCAGAAGUCCAGCCCUACUCCUCACUGCUGUGAGAACUUCAGCCGUCAGUCUUCUGAAGAUGGUUCCUCAUGCACAAACGCCUACCUCAUAGGGUCACAGGUGUAUGACGACACAGAGGGAUCGGAAUGAGAAAGCAUUUUCUAUACCAUAAAGCUCACGAGGCAUGGUUUUCAAAGUGUAGCUACUGAUGCCACAGCAACAUCAAUGCCUGAGGACAUAGAAGAAAUGCAAAAUAUCCAACUGGCCACAGACCUGAGGGAUGGGAAGUUUUAGAGGUGGGCCACCACAUUCUGCACGUCAGCAUUCUCCACGUGACUGACUGAUACGUUCUGGUUUGAAGGCAUUGCACUUGACAAGUGAGCCUUUCUCUGUGGUUCUGGAGAGACUGAGCCAGCAGGAGGAACGUUAGCAUCUCUGUGAUGCAAUGAUGCUAUCAGGUGACAGUGUGUCCUCCCUUUGCUCUUCAGUCUUAAACCAUCCUUCCAGAUAAGGCCCCCAGAUCCAGUUCAGACUCCCAUAAUGCUUACAGUAUGGGUCAUAAAAUUGCUGACAUUUUCAGGGUUGGGAAAGAGUCUGCCCAAAACCCUAAUGGAAGCCUGUUUAUUACGGCUUCACCUGUACCAGAGGUAAAUUCUGUAUGUUUCUACCUGCAUUUCCCAACUCAAAGCCUACUUCAUCAUCUCAUUGUGCAUUUUUGGAUUUGGUUGUGCCCUGCUGCCCUCGAUGACACGUAUUAAUGCUCAACUCUCAUGCUCCCUCAGAAAGAAGGGUACCAGGGCUUCAGCACCCUGGGGCAGAGUGUGAAUCCCAGACUCCCAUCAUUGGAGUAGGUUCCCAAUUGACUCCCACUGUUUACCUCCUCCAUGCUUUUAGAGCACAGGAUCUUAAUGAUUUCACAGAUGGGCCACAUUGUCAGCCAUGGAAAAGAGUCUGCUACACAUAAUUGUACUCUGAGAAUAUCACGGGGGAAGUGUGGGGAUGAGUCACAGAGUUGGCAGGGGAACUUCUUACAGGCCAGGCCCUUCUGGUAACAAACUCGACAGGACUAUCUUGAAGGUGGCCCAGGCACGUCCUUCCCUGACUCUAGGCCGAGGGCUGUUGAAGCCAAGAAGAAAAGACAAUGUUUGCUCUAUCACUGAGGUCAGCGUGGUGGCUUCAUGCACAGAAGUUGGGCCCAGGCUAUCCUAAAGCUCCUUCCAAUUCUACUGAAUGCACAACAAAGCCUUUUGUUCUGUGAACUAACCUCGUCACAUUUCAAAGCCUCCCACUCCCUGCUCUGUAAUAACAAGUCACAAAUUCAUUCUUCAGGACCUGUCCUCCACUGUGACAUCACAUAAUACCUGCCAGGCAUCAUUCACCAUCAGAUCUAAGUGGAAAUGUCUGAUACUAAAUGAGUUUCCCAUUGUCCUCUAUAAACCAGCUCCCAGCAUCAACUCAUAGUCAGCCAUUUUGUCAACCAUCAAGAGACUAUGAUGGAGGUGUCAUCUCUGAGACUAUGAUGGAGGUGUCAACUCUGAGACUAUGAUGGAGGUGUCAUCUCUGAGACUAUGAUGGAGGUGUCAUCUCUGAGACUAUGAUGGAGGUGUCAUCUCUGAGACUAUGAUGGAGGUGUCGUCUCUGAGACUAUGAUGGAGGUGUUGUCUCUGAGACUAUGAUGGAGGUGUCCUCUCUGAGACUAUGAUGGAUGGAGGUGUUGUCUCUGAGACUGUGAUAGAGGUGUAGUUUCUGAGACUAUGAUGGAGGUAUCAUCUCUGAGACUAUGAUGGAGGUGUCGUCUCCUGGGAAUUUGGUUUUUCAUCGUUCACUCUUGUUUCGUGAGUGCACUCUGCAUCCUGCUAUACAGUUUCAAUGACUCCUCUUUGUCUUCCGUCCUGCAAACUAACAUUAUUAUUCUCGCUUUAUGGUUUUGAAACCAUAGUUCCUCAACCCUUGCUAUAGCUUAGAGUUCCUUAAAGUGUCUGAGCUCAUCCCUAAUGAAGUCUGAUUUGGGGGUCUGAUUUAUCAGUAUCGCAGAGACCCAUUGUCCUGGACCUUCAGACUUACAGUUCAUAGAAAGACAUAUAGUACAUACACUUUGUGAUCUUGUUAAAAUUUAUAUUCAGAUUCAGGAUGCCUGGAGUGGGCAUAUUCUGUGUUUAUUUUACCUUUUGUUUUGUUUUGUUUUGUUUAUUUUGAGACAGAGUCUCACUCUAUAGGCUAGGCUCGCCGAGAACUCAAUGUAUCACAAGCUGGCCUUGAAUUUGUGGCAGUCCUCCUGCCUCAGCCUCCCAAGUGCUGGGAUGAUAGGCAUGAGGCACCAUACCCAAGCAACAUCUUGUGUUUCUUCAUGUCUCACAUGCUGUGAGGCACACUCUGAGUAGCAACCGCCUAGAGCUCCGAGUGUGACCGUCUCUCGUCUGCCUCGCUGUACAAGGCCCAUGCCUCAUCUCCCACAGCUUCCUGCUCUCAUCAGACUAGCUCAGCUCUCUUGACCCACAGACUUGCCACACCAGCCGGUUUUACCUGGAAUGCCUGACUCCCUUACCUCUGUCUAAUUAAAUCUCUCCCAUAUGCCAGGACCCAGCUUAGGCUCUGCCUCUAUCUACUUACCAAGUUUGCCAACGCUUUCUCCCUCUGAUCUCUCACAAUGAUCGGCGAUUCCCUCACCAAACAAUAAGCUUUCAGUUGGUGAUGGGAAGGAAAUCAGACAGAAGGAAAUCUAGAAGCUGGGUACCAUGCUGGCAAGUCAUUUUCCUUCCUAAAAUCUGUCGCCAGUGGCAAAAGCCUUCCUGGCAAUGGCUAAAUUAGAUUAGUGGUCUGGGGACUUUUUUCAAGUAAUUAAUUUUAUCUUCAAAACAUCUUCAGAAACUGCAACACAGUGGGCCUAUGAGACAUUGGGGAUUAAGAUACAUACAUGUCAGGAAUGGAAACUGCUCCUGUAAACAUUCGAGAGGAACCAUAGGCUAGGCCUCAUUCCACCCAACUGUCCCCUUCACACUCACUCUUCCCAUCAGCAGACUGAAGCCCCAUAGUAGCAGAUGCGGGACCAGAAUGUAGCUUUCUGAAUUUUGGAUGAUUCCACAUCCAGAGUCCCCCUAAAUGGCUACAUUGCUCUGUGCCAUAGAAAUGAAACUGGGAAAUGCUGAAUGGUAGCAUGCUGCAAGAUGUAUAUCUACAAGGUCAGACAGAAGAAUCCUCUUGCCUUCUACCUAGAGGUUAGGCUCCCAAUCCAGUGUCAGGUUUCUAACUGUCCUUUUGAAACAAAGUCCAGUACAAUCUGGCCCCCAUCAAUCUUCCAGCAUCCCUCCCUGCUGGGCCAUUCCAUUCAGACUCAGUUUCUCAAAAUGAUUAUUGACCCAUAAAGCAGCAGGUUGCUUCUGAACACAGCCCCUUCGACAUCUUGAAGUUGGGGAUGGAGCAAUUGUCCCAUAUGAAUGUGGGUCUGGCCCUCACAAUAGCUCAUUCCUUAAGGAACUGCAGGCUUAACCUUCCUAGGAUAAAGGAGCAUACUUUUGACUCUGGCUUUCUAAGGCCUCUGCGGUAAAGAUCUACAGUGUGGAGCCCAGAUGAUUGUCAUGCUGUGGCCAGAGAUGUUGAAUUGGAUUCUGAACAAUGAGAAAGCAGCAGGGAGCUGAUUUUGUCAACCCUCUGACAAGACAGCAUAAGCACUGUGGUCACUGGGCCACUAUGGUGGCCAGUUGGGGGUGGGGAGUACUGCCAUGUAGAUUGUUAUCCACACCUGUGGAGGAUAGUCAAGUUGAAGAAAUUAGGGGGAUGCGGCAGUAGUGGUGAUAUUUCCAACAGAGUCACUGCCACCUUGGUGUAGAUUCUGUGAUGGCAAAGAGGUAUAUGCUGUACCAGGAAACAACACAAAAACUCUCCUUUUAGCUCACUCUCCUCAGAUGUGAAUUUCUCUGAGCCUCAACACUAAUAAUUUAUUUUCAUAAUGCUUCACUUCUAUGCUGGUCUUUAGACCUCUGAGGUAGUUGAGACAUUAUGACCUCUAAUUUAUAAAGGAGUAUAGUAUACUGGAUUUGUAAUGCCAGGGCAUGGGUGGGCCAAGGCUAUACAACUAGUGAAUGGUUAAGCCAGAACCAGGGCUUGUUGGCACUGAUGGGACAGAGGUGGGUGAGGAAAGCGGGCAUGUGUGGCAGUGAAUGUGGAGCUUUCAGUGGGGACACCAUUUGACAAGUGGACAAUUCUAAUCCAACGUCUUCAUUCCUGGAAGAAGAAGAUCCCUUGGUAGGGACAGGGCUUGGAAAGCAGGCUAUGUUCUAAAGACUCAUUUAAAAUGAAGGUUCCAGAGUCAGUGCAAAGACUCAUCAACUCACCAAAGUGCUGAGAAGAAAUGACUGUUGAGUGCUCAGCUCUGAAUGGAAUGUUUAUUUUUUUGGUGACAUUUAUUUGUAUUAUGUGGACACACACAUGUCACAACAUAGAUGUGGAGGUCAGAAGACAACUUGAAGGAGCUGGGCCUCUCCUUUCACCAUUUGGGUCCCAGAGAUCAAAUUAAGAUCUUCAGUCUUGGCAGGAAGUACCUUUAUCCACUGAGACAUCUUAUAAGCCCUUAAAUGAGACAUUUAUCAACCACCACUGAGGCUCAGGGACCAUCAAAAAAGAGGGAAUGGGAAGAAUUAUAAGAUCCAGAAGAUGGGGAAGUGAGCUAUAAAAUACUGUCUGCUAAACAUGAGGGGUGAACUCACAACAGCUGUGGUUACACCUGCACAGGACCUACACAUGGUCAGCCCGUCAAUAUUUCAGCAUGGAUAAGGAGUAUGGUAGUUUGAAUGUAAUUGCACCCCCAGAAUCAGAUAGGGAGUGGCACUACUAGGAAGUAUGGCUUUCUUGGAAUAGGUAUGGCCUUGUUGGAGGAAUUGUGUCACUGUAUAGAUGGGCUUUAAGGUUUCCUAUGCUCAGGAUACUGCCCAGUGUCUCAGUGGAUUUUCUGUUGCCUGCAAGAGGUAGGACUCUCACCUACUACUCCAACACCAUGUCUGCCUGAACACCACCAUGAUUCCCACCUUGAUGAUAAGGGACUGAUCAUCUGAAACUCUAAGCAAGUCCCCUCAAUUAAAUAGUUUCCUUA